UACAGAGGUCCCAAGCGUUGUUCGGAUUCACUGGGCGUAAAGGGUGCGUAGGUGGUCGGGUAAGUUUGAUGUGAAAGCUCCGAGCUUAACUCGGAAAUUGCAUUGAAUACUAUUCGGCUAGAGGGUUGGAGGGGGGGGACUGGAAUUCUCGGUGUAGCAGUGAAAUGCGUAGAUAUCGAGAGGAACACCAGUGGCGAAGGCGAGUCCCUGGACAACUCCUGACACUGAGGCACGAAAGCUAGGGGAGCAAACAGG
rnacentral:rRNA from 1 species